UGUAAUGAACAAAACGAUCAGCAAGAAUUAAAAUGAAUUUUGUAAUGUUAUAUUGAUGGCCACCCACCAUCGAGCCAACCGAGCUUCCACAUGACUGAGUGGCAAGAUUUUUAUGGCGACCUCUGCCUCCACUGAAGCACUAUUGUAACAAUCGACUCUGUGAGAUCCAGUUGACGCUGUAGCGCAUCAACCCCAACCUCUCUCCUGUGGGUCCAUCUGGCCCACAUAUAGGUUAUUGGUGCGCUUGGCGUUCUUCAAACCCAAGAUCUCACUUUUUAACAACUUUUCUACAUGACAAAAUUAAUUGGUAACAGCUUGUCCUCUGAGAAAGUUGUGGACCAGAUCGGUCGAUGCGCUGCAGCGCCAACUGGGUCCCAUAUGACUGGUUGUUACAACUUUAAUGAUCUCUUAACACU
rnacentral:sRNA from 1 species